GUAUUUAUGGACUCCAUCUAGUUGUCAGGUGCUGGGUCAGAGCUGAAGAUGCAGAGUGAAGGUGACAUACAUAGAGUCUGGCAUGGGAGAGCAGACUCUAAAUGACACCAGGACCUGAACUGUCUGGAAGAGCAUGUAAUGAAGAGGAGAAGUGGAGAACUGGGCAGGAGUGCUUCAGGCAGAGGGGAGAGCAAGUGUAAAGGGCCACAGGUCCCUGUACUUUGGUCCUUCUUCAGCCCAAGCCAGCAUGCAGACCUUCUUCAACAGCAGCUCCUGAGAAGAGGCCACUUCUGAAACCACUGUCACAUCAUCCCACACUCUUCCAUCCUACUUCUGAGUCACACUAGGCUCUUUCUAACCUUGCUCACCCUCCAUAAAAGAAAAAUGAUUUUUGCCUAACUCUUGAGAAGCUUGCAGAUCUUGCGGUCAGAGCAUUCCUCUUAUUCUAAUAGUCUUUCCCUGUACCCUUAUAAUGCUCCUUUCCAGUGAAGUCCCU
rnacentral:lncRNA from 10 species